CAAGUAGUUGCUUAUGUUGUUUCUCUUAAUUACUCCACCACCCUCAGAGGCAGAUGGUAUUGUCCCUGUCUCCAAAGUGGGAGUCGCACUGCCACCCUUCAGGAGUGUCCCUGGCUCUGUGGAGGAACCUGAGACAAAGGCUCUUAGAGGGACUAAGACUUCUUUAUAUAGAGGUGUUGCCCUAUAAGGGUACCAGAGAGAGAAGGCCGACUGUAACUCAUGACCAGACCCAAGGCCCGUGGCUUUUCAUACCACAGGUGUGUUCUGAAGCUGGUGAGAUUCCUGCAGGUCGGUCGAGGAGGGAUCUUCACCACGGAGGGCAGUGGAGAGAUGACAACUGUAGACAUCCAUGCAACUUCUGUUCUCAGGCUCCUGCUGUUUUCAAAU
rnacentral:lncRNA from 1 species